UACGUAGGGUGCGAGCGUUGUCCGGAAUUAUUGGGCGUAAAGAGCUUGUAGGCGGUUUGUCGCGUCUGCUGUGAAAAUCCGGGGCUCAACCCCGGACUUGCAGUGGGUACGGGCAGACUAGAGUGUGGUAGGGGAGACUGGAAUUCCUGGUGUAGCGGUGGAAUGCGCAGAUAUCAGGAGGAACACCAGUGGCGAAGGCGGUGCUCUGGGCCGGAACUGACGCUGAGGAGCGAAAGCGUGGGGAGCAAACAGG
rnacentral:rRNA from 1 species